GCCGGAGUGGCGGAAUGGUAGACGCGGCGGUCUCAAAAACCGUUGGGUAUAAACACCCGUGUCAGUUCGACUCUGACCUUCGGCA
rnacentral:tRNA from 1 species